rnacentral:lncRNA from 1 species
AGUGCAAUGUACCUUCGAGGGAGCUAAAAGUCCCUCUCCUUGCAUUGGUUAAAGCAACAUUAAUGAUUACUGUGAUCUGAACAACGUUCUAUAUCCUAUGACUACAUUAAUUUACUACACAAAGCCCCUGCCUGCCUAAAACUGACACUCUAAUGAAGGGACAGUCAUCAAAUAGGCAAUCAAGAAACCUCCCAGAAGCAGAUGCCUCACCUCUUUUGCCAAUAAUCCUUCUCUGAAUUACUGUGCUGAGCAUCUUAUGUGACUCAUGAUUAAACUGUUUCAUGUGUAAUUGUAUAUCUUCAGAUGGAAUAUAUUCACCCUGAGAACAGGUGCUGCAUCUUCCAAUCCAGUGUUUAUUUCCUUGUGGCAUGAAUUUAACUGUAAAACUAAUGACGGAAGGAGCCAGCUUUCUUUUCUUUUUAAA